AAUCUACAUAAGUGUUGUACUUAUAUAAUGUCAUAAUAUGGUUGACGAGUUUCUACCUAAGACCGAAAAUCUUGGACUAUAAGUAAAAAAAGCUGUAGU
rnacentral:ncRNA from 2 species